ensembl:lncRNA
UUUUCCAUUAUUCGAAAGUGUUAAAAACCAUCCUUAGCUAACACCAGAUUUAAGUGGUGGGCUGUAGUUUAUAGGCUCCUGCUUUGAGCUUUUCCACUAUUUCUUCUCCUCUUUUGAUAGUUUUUAAAAAUUUUUUUAGAUAUUUUUAUAUCUAAAUUAAGUCUUAGCAAGAAUCAUUGUACAUAUUGUUUCCUCCUAUAUUCUCAGAGUGGAUUUUUUUUUUUUUCUUUUUAGGGCCGCAUCUGCUGCAUAUGGAGGUUCCCAGGCUAGGGGUUGAAUCUGAGCAGCAGUUGCUGGCCUACGCCAAAGCCACAGCAACACGGGAUCUGAGCCGAAUCUGCGACCUACACCACAAUUCACAGCAAUGCCGAAUCCUUAACCCACUGACCAAGGCCAGGGACUGAACCCACGUCCUCAUGGAUACUAGUUGUGUUCAUUACUGCUGAGCCACGAUGGGAACGCCUCAGAGUGGAUUUUUGCAUUUGAUCUAGGGUUUUCUUCAGCUGCUUCCAGAGGUUUCCAGAGGUUUCAAGUCAGGAGCAGGAGAACUAAGGGUCAUUCUGGGCCUUGGGGACAGACAGCAUCCAUGGUAUAAGCCCUUCAGCUUCCAGGCUGCCUUGCUUAGCCCCACAGAGCAUCUCAUGGCCCUGGCUCUAAUGACCCCCCUCCUCUACCACCAGCACCCCUGCUGCAGGACUGGAGAAAAUCAGAAGCACUAAUAGGAAGCUGAACAUAUUACAUAGGCCUCUGGAGAAAUUAAAUCAUCCUUUAAAACACAGGCUACUACUCACUAUGCAAAAUAAAUAAACCAUGUGCCUCUCAAGGGCCAAUAUUUGCCUUUGGGGAAAAAAGCAGAAUGCGUGGGAAGAACACUCUAAACAGGGAGGCUCCCCACCCCUGCCCCUCCCACCAACCCUGGGACAGCACUUGGCCUUAGGUUCCUGGGCCUCCUGAUUCAACGAGGCCACGAGGACUGUCUCUCCAACCCGUCUGGGCUGGGCCCACUUGCUAAUGUUUUGGGAUUGAGAGGCCAUGUUAUGAAAGACAAGUCUGAGUUCUGGAACAUCUCUGAGAGGCUACUCAACACAAGCAGAAAGCAGAACCCAGGGGACAAUGUCCUCAGAGAACAAAAUGAAGUUACUCUCCUUCUUUUCCUUUUUUUUUUUUUUUUUUUUUUUUUUUUUUGUCUUUUUAGGGCAGCACCUGUGGCACAUGGAGGUUCCCAGGCUAGGAGUUGAAUCAGAGCUGUGGCCACCAGCCUACGCCACAGACACAGCAACGCCAGAUCUGAGCCGCGUCUGUGACCUAUACCACAGCUCACGGCACCACUGGAUCCGUAACCCAGUGAUUGAGGCCAGGGAUCGAACCUCGAACCUGGAAUCAGAAAGGGCACUGUCCGGGACUCACACUCCACAGCUGUGACCAAGUCACUUUUGUCAACCUCCUUCAUCCACAAGAUGUCACUCCACAACCUGAGCUCCCUUCCUGCUCUUCUCAUUCUAAGUGGAUCACUUAGGCCUGUGUCCUCCGCCUGGGAAGCCCUCAGAGGGUUGGUCACAGGACAGCAGGCGUCUCUAGCCCAGACUUGGCUGAGAGGGAGGGGGCCCUUGCACCCAGCCAAAGGUUGGCACCCUCAGCCCUGCCUCCUUUCUUUCCCCACGCAUCUCUCACUCCUGCGGUCCUCCGCCGUCAGAGUCAAGGGCAGGAUGGUCUCUCUGGACGAACUGGACAUAGAACAUGUAACCAACAGACAAAUGGCAGAGACGCACGUCCCCGCCCUGAGGCUUACAUGCAAAGAGAGCAGACUGAAAAAUAUAAAAACAAGCAUAGCCCUGAGGUGGGCACACGGCCCAGACUAGACAUGGUCAUCACCCCACGGAUCCCUAUAAUCUUAGAGAAAUACACAGACAGGAAAAUAAACAUGCCAAGAGCUGUUUCUUGAGGGCUGUGCUUUGCUUUCUCAUUCUUCUAAAUCAACCGAUCUCUUUCUCAAUCUCUUCCAUUUCCUACUCCCUGUUUUUCCAGGCAGUGAUCUAGAGGCAGUGGGGUGGGAGGGAAGGAAAAAAUUUUAGGAGCAGCACAAAAGUUGAGUUCAACCUGGAAAUGAAAACGAGUCACUUUUUAGGUUCCCUUGGAAAAGCACUCAUUCCUGGCAAGAGACUCCAAGAACCAGAGGACCCUGGAGGCUGUCCUUGUCACUUUGUAGCUGAUAAAUUGAGGCCCGUGAGAGAAAAGGGCUUGUUGAGUUGAUGGCAGUGUCUAUGCGACAGGAUCAAGCCCCCCAGGCCCAGCGCUGGGUGCAGGUGGGGCAGGAACAGUGUCUGCAGCGCUGAGGAGAGAUGGAGGAACAGAGAAGACAGUGCAGGUGAUGAGAAGAUAAAGGAGAAGACAGGAGAAGAGGGUUAAGGCACAGGGAUGGAGGAGCCCCCUGAAUCAAACUGUGGCUGCUGCUACCCAGUCUUUUUUAUUUCAUUUUUGGGGGGGUGAGGUGAAAGUCACACUACGUACAAGCAACCACUUUAUUUUAUUUUAUUUUAUUUAUCUUUUUAGGGCUGCACCCACAGCACAUGGAGGUUCCCAGGCUAGGGGUCAAAUCAGAGCUACAGCUGCCCCCCCAAGCCACAGCUACAGCCAGCAACAUAGGAUCCGAGCCGCGUCUGCGACCUACACCACAGCUCACAGCAACACCAGAUCCUUAACCCACUGAGCAAGGCCGUGGAUUCACCCUGCAUCCUCAUGGAUACUAGUCAGAUUUGUUUCUGCUGAGCCACAAUGGAAACUCCACAAUCAACCAUUUUAAAGUGAACAAUCCCAUGGCAUGUAAUACAUGGACGAUGUUGUGUAACCUUCACCUCUAUCUAGUUCCAAAACGUUGUCAUCACCCUUAAAAGAAAUCCUGCGUCCAUUAAGCAGUUUCUCCCCAUCCUCUUCCCCCUGCACCCUACCAGCAGCGAAUCUACUUUCUGUGUCUAUGGAUUUACUGAUUUUGGAGACUGUGAGUAAAUGGAAUCAUUUAGUCCAUGGGCUUUUGUGACUGGUUUCUUUUCACUCAGCAUAAUGUUUCCAAGAUUCAUCCACAUUGUAACAUGUGUCAGUACUUUGUUCCUUAAAUAAUAAUUCAUUGUAUGGAUGCACUGCAUUUUGUUUAUCCAUGUAUCCACUGAUGGAUAUCCAGAGUCUUUUAAUAAACUAAAAGUCUGGAAACAAGAUAACAUGGAAUUUUUUACUGCGACUUUUGUCUGAUAAUUGUGAAAUCCAGGUGGAGGGAAAGGAAAGGUGAGGGCAGGAAGGGGUGGGAUGGUGGAAGAGGAAGAAUGGCAGGGACCCUCAAACAAUUUUCACCUUCUUCCUCAUUUUGCUAAGGUUGCCCGCUCUGGCCCCUCCAGACCCUUGGGGGCACAGGGAUGAGCAGGUGAGGCCUCAGGUCCCUUUUGCUGCUGAAGAAUAGGGCCUUCCCAGCCUGCAAGGUAGAGAGAUUUUCUGCCUGGUGGAGUUCACGUGUUUCUUGCAGCUUAGCUGAAGAGGCAGCUUUGUUUCUGAUUAUCCCAGGCUGCCCUCUGAGGCACCUCACUCAGCUCAGAGGUGACUUCUGGAGCAUCACCAGGGGACCCUGCUCACUAUUCCAAGUACAUCUGCCAGUCUCCUGUACACUUUCCCAAGACAGAACAUCUAUCUAGGCUCACUACGAACCUAUGAGGUGGGCAGGAUGCAAAUCCCAGACAGGUAAAGAGCCUUAAGAGCCACCAAGGCAGCCUGGGACACUGACUCCCCUCUGGGAUGCAGGUUCCUGGCUGUUCUCAUGUCUCUGUCCGCUCCCCCCAGCCCCCAGCCCUUUGCUCCUGCCCAGUUUUCUGGAGCAUCUGUGGAUUUCAGCUGACCUGGGGCGGUCUCUACCUGAAGGAGAUGAAGACCAAACAGCCUUUAUAAGUCCACUGCAUCCUUUCUAUUCCUAAUUUUCUUACCUACGGCAAUGCCGUUUGAUUCUCCCUGAGUAAUCCAAGGCAACAGUGGAUACCCUUUUUGGCAGUUUUGGAAUAUUAACAACAUCUGUUUAUUCGAAUCCUGAGGGUAAACCAGUCACAGGGGCAUGGGGCGGGGUGGGGUGGGAGGGGAAGGAAGUGAAAGAGAGAAUAUCUCCCUAAUACAAUAGCCUCAUGAGAGGAAUUAUUAUCCCCACAUUCUGGGUGCGGAAACAGGCUCAGAAAGUUUCAGAAACCUGCUGAGGGUCACACAGCUAGUAAGAAGCAGAGCAGAAUAUGAACUCUGACCUUCUGAUGUUAAAACCCAUCUUUAGGAGAGUGUAUUAUAUUGGUGCCUUCCCAGUAGAGAGUUGAAAAACAUAGCCCAUUCUUCCCUCCAGGACCCAGGGAAAUGACGCUAUCCUGGCUGGAUGGAGUUCAGGUUUGAGGAGGUAAAGGAAAGCCCACGUCAGGGGCUGGUCGCGCACCCUGGCUUCGUUACCCUCCAAGCUGGAGGCACUGCCCGGGAUGAGCUUUCACAUGUCUGAAUCAGCCCACCCCCUGGACGGUGCAGCUCUCGCUAGGGGGCAGCACAUACCGGGGCGGGAUACCCGCUCGCCGCAGCCUAGCUGGCGGGCCAGCUUCUCCCGGAGGCGGCACUGCAGGCUCUGGGGCGCCGCUAUGACUCAGCGGAGUCACCGCCGCCAGGCCGUGCGGCUCUGUCUGGGCAAAAAAAGGAUGAUCGCCCUUAGACCCCCUCGGGUUAAAAACCCAAACUAGAAUUAGAGAGCAGUGAUAUUGCACAACUUUGUGAAUAUACUGAGUCACUAAACUGUACACUUCAAAGGAUGAAUUUUAUGGCAUGUGACAUAUCUCAAUAACGCUGUUAUUAAAAAACAAAACAAAACACCCUACAUGGGUCUCUGAGAGUUGAAAUCAAGUAGAGAUAAAUCUAAAAAUAACCUGAAAAUGAACUUUGUCUCCAAGGUUAUUUUUGGCUCCUGCAUUUUUUAUAUAUACAUAUAUAUAUAUACACAAACACACACACACACACACACACACACACACACAUCACCCCCCUCCCCAAUUUGCCAGAGCAUUCAAGUGGAAAACAGGAUUCCUCAUAACAGGUGCUGUUUCGAGCAUUUCCAGGUAUUGAUUCAUUUAAUUCACACACCUGCCUCUAUUAUUAUGUCUACUUCUACAGAUGGGGAAACUGAGGCACAAGGAGGUUGAGUCAUUUGUCCAAGGGCACACAGUAGACAUGUAAUGGAGUUAGGGCUCAAAGCCCAAGCAGCCUGGCACCAGAAUAUGACCUUGUAAAGUCGGCUGGCAAUGGCGAUUAAAUCAAGCAAGUUCCUAAAAUAACCCAUUUUAGGAACAUCGGGACCCGCUCAGUUGAGCGAGAGCCUUCAUUUCUUUUGAAAACUUUCUCUUCGUAUUUACACUCUAUUUUGUGAUGCUUACAGUCCAACUGUUUUAUUUUAAGACAUAAAGAUUAGUGAAAGGGCAGGCAAACCAGUCUCCUUGGUGGAGGUAAAUUCUGGGCCCAAGGUCCCUGGGACACCUCUGUACUCAGGAAGUGGGGGAGCCAACCUCACUUAAAGGAAGAGAGCCUCCACACUGGGCUGACUUGUGGCAACUCAGAUGCUUCCCAUGCUCUUCACUAACAGCUGGUCCCGACUGGGAGGGCUGGGAGCUGCAGCUCCUUUUGUGCACCCUCUUCUCUCUCGCCCCUGACAGGUGGCAUCCAGCACAAAGCAGCACAGAGAAGUUCUCAGGACAACUUGCUGGAGGAAGACCCUGGCGAACCUCAGAGGGACUCUGAAGUGUGAGCUUGUGUACAUAUCCCAUCACAGCAUAGCACAGAACGUUCUAGAACCAAAUCUGACGAAUAAUACCCAGAUUUUAAGCAGAACUGCCAAGUGAAAUGGAGAGAAGAUAAAGGAACCCACAGAGAGGGAAGACUUAGGUUGGUGAGAAGAAACUGGAAUAAUCCCAGGCCUCAAUCCAAAGAGAACAAUCAACAAUUGUAUGAAAGCAUGAAUGAAGGCCGCUUUCUGGGUGGAGGCAGUGCUGCUGUGCACACACGAUGUGUCAUGGCUGAUGUCAGCUGGCCGAUGUCCACUACUAAUAAGAAAAUCCACAGAUUGUGUCGGAGAGGACAAUUCUGGUUUUAAACCCAAGGUUUCGGGUUUGUUUGUCUGUCUGUUUUUUUCCUACCUCCUUUGUAACUGCUGGUAUAGCCAAACUGUACUGUAGCAUCUGUUAGGGUGAUAGAGCAUGCUUGGGUGGCUGUAUCAGAACUGCAGUAGUUUUCCCUCCAAUCUCCUUCCUCCUAAGUUUCUGAUCUGUUAGCCUUCAACAAGGAGAGUGAUGUCAUGUGACACCCUAAGGGUAGUGGAGACAGGCUGCUGAGCCUCUGUCCCAUUCAGGGACUGUUAAUGUCCCCGGUCACUUUUUUUUUUUUUUUUUUUUUUUUAGGGCCACACUCGCAGCGUAUGGAGGUUCCCAGGCUAGGGUGGAAUCAGAGCUACAGCUGCCGACCUAUACCACAACCACAGCAAUGCAGGAUCCAAGCCGCCUCUGUGACCUACACCAUAGCUCACGACAACACCCGAUCCUUAACCCACUGAGCAAGGCUAAGGAUCAAACCUGUAUCCUCAUGUAUGCUAAUCAGAUUCGUUAACCACUGAGCCAUGACAGGAACUCCCCUGGUCACUGUUUUAAUUCCAUCUGAGAUGAAUCCCCUGAAUUCAGAGCACCAAGUGGGUAAAAAAAGAAUCUCUUUCGAUAUCAAAGCUAGGAAAACCAGAGCAAAAAAAAAUUUUCUGCUUCCCUUGGGCAAACCACUCUUAAUCCUUAGAAAGGGAGAGAUAAUUUAUUCUUUUAUAAAAGUGAAUCAUAGUCAUUAUUAAAAAGUCAAAUACGAAAAUGUGAAAGGAAGAAAGCAAAACAACAACUGUUAACAUUCUAGGGAACUUCCUUGCAAACUUCCCCCC